rnacentral:rRNA from 1 species
GCAGCUUGCUGGACUGUAACUGACGCUGAGGCACGAAAGCGUGGGGAUCAAACAGGAUUAGAUACCNNGGUANNCCACGCCGUAAACGAUGAAUGCUAGCUGUUAGCGAUAUACUGUUAGCGGCACAGAGAAAUCGUUAAGCAUUCCACCUGGGGAGUACGCCGGCAACGGUGAAACUCAAAGGAAUUGACGGGGGCCCGCACAAGCGGAGGAACAUGUGGUUUAAUUCGAUGAUACGCGAGGAACCUUACCUGGGCUUAAAUUGCAGUGGAAUAACGUGGAAACAUGUUAGCCUUCGGGCCGCUGUGAAGGUGCUGCAUGGUUGUCGUCAGCUCGUGCCGUGAGGUGUCGGCUUAAGUGCCAUAACGAGCGCAACCCUCAUCGAUAGUUACUAACAGGUUAAGCUGAGGACUCUAUCGAGACUGCCGACGUAAGUCGUGAGGAAGGUGGGGAUGACGUCAAAUCAGCACGGCCCUUACGUCCAGGGCUACACACGUGUUACAAUGGGGGGUACAAAGGGCAGCUACCUGGCGACAGGAUGCUAAUCUCAAAAACCUCUCUCAGUUCGGAUUGGAGUCUGCAACCCGACUCCAUGAAGCUGGAUUCGCUAGUAAUCGCGCAUCAGCCACGGCGCGGUGAAUACGUUCCCGGGCCUUGUACACACCGCCCGUCAAGCCAUGGGAGCCGGGGGGACCUGAAGUAUGCAACCGUAAGGAGCGUCCUAGGGUAAAACUGGUGACUGGGGCU